rnacentral:rRNA from 1 species
AUGAGCUCCCAUGGUGUUGUUGCCGUGAAGCCAAUCGCCACGCCGGACAAAACCACGCAUUCUUAUGCUUGUGGAUCCACACAGUCUUCAGUUCAUAAGCUGCUGGACUCUAAACUGGACCACCUUGGGCUGUUGGAUGAUAAUCUGUCAUCCACCAGUCAGUCAUCAGACAUCAAGACCGAGCUGAUCCGAACGUCGAGCCUGGGAAGAAGCAGCCUGCCAUUUAACCUUCAGAGAAGAAGCCCUGAGCCUGAUCCUGAAAGUCCAUUGUCUCAUGUCUCGCACCCCAAUUUUUCAGAGCCCAUGGCCUCAAACUCUUCAACGUUCUGCACAAGUUUAUUCUCAUCAUCUUUGACAAACUCGGCGCCUUGCCGGCGAAUGGGUGCUCUGCCUUUCCUGCCUCACCCUCCCAAGUAUGAGCAGCAGGUUCUCCCAGGGCAGUCAUCAACCUCCUCCCUGCAGCUCAGUGGUGACACAGGCAAUGUUCAUGACGAGGCUGAACAGGCAGAUGACAUAAAAGACUUCCUCAAUCUUUCUGCUGGAGAUGCUUCUGAUGGCAGCUUCCAUGGUGAAAACCAAGCGUUUGCUUUCGCCGAGGCCGAGCAGAUGGAGUUCCAGUUCUUGUCUGAGCAGCUAGGGAUCGCCAUCACCGAUAAUGAGGAGAGCCCCCAAUUAGAUGACAUAUACGACACGCCGCCGCCUCAAAUGUCGUCGCUUCCGGUCUCAUCCUGCUCCAACCAGAUCCUGCAGAAUCCAGGAUCUCCGGCUAAACUGCCGCUUAGCUCGUCGCGGUCAUCUUCUGGAUCUGCAGCAGCUAACAAGUCAAGAUUGAGGUGGACACUGGAGCUCCACGAGCGUUUCGUAGAGGCAGUGAACAAGCUCGAAGGGCCUGACAAAGCAACUCCCAAGGGCGUUCUGAAGCUUAUGAAAGUGGAAGGCCUGACCAUCUACCAUGUAAAGAGUCAUUUGCAGAAGUACCGACACGCAAAGUAUAUUCCAGAGAUCAAAGAAGAAAAGAAGGCUUCCUCGGACCUUAAGAAAGUACAACCGGGUAGCAGUGGAAGCGAUCCGUUCAAAAACAAGAACUUGGCAGAAGCUCUACGGAUGCAAAUGGAGGUUCAGAAGCAGCUCCAUGAACAGCUAGAGGUGCAAAGGCAGCUGCAGCUACGCAUAGAAGAACACGCGAAAUACUUGCAGAGGAUACUGGAAGAGCAGCAGAAGGUCGGCAGUGGCAGCUCGCUCUCACUGAAAACCCCGACGGAGCCGUCCGAGUCGACGUCGAAAGACAGAACUGAACCUGAAGAGGCCACCACCUCUUCACCUCAGACGUCCAAGAACAGCGAGGCAGGGUCCCCUUGUUCAUAA